rnacentral:lncRNA from 1 species
UUAUUUAGGUAGAGGAUGGUCACCAAUUCACUAAUAAUUUAUUCAUUUGUGUCCUUACCCAGGAGGCUGCCCACAAGACUAGUGAAUUUGUUUUCUUUCAAAGAACAAUAACCCUUAUAUCAUGCAGACCUCCUUGAUCAUGUCCAGACCUGGUGGAUCAGCCCUUGCCACACCCUGAACUAGACCUGUUCACAGAUGGAAGCAGCUUCAUAGACCAUGCAUGUUAUUGUGCUGGAUACACAGCCGUUAUAUCUCAAGGUACUGUGGAAGAAAAAGCAUUACUUCCAGAUACCUCAGCUCAACUGGCCAAUCUCAUUGCCCUUACGCAUAACCUGCAAUUGGGAUGAAGACCAAGUCCUAUUUAAGACAAGGAGGGAACUGGACCAGAUCAUCAACUAGCCCCUCAAUGGUUAAGACCCUAUGAGGUCCUUCUGACUACUCAUUCAUGUGUAAAGUUGGCCAGAGUUAAACCAUGGAUACAUUCUACAUGGAUAAAAAUUGCCCCUCCUCAGACUGGUCUGUCACAUAAUGGACCUGAAUGAACCUGUGAAACAACUGAAAACCUGAAGCUGCUUUUUAAGAAAAUCUACACAGAUAAGUAAAACCUUUUGUCAUUUAAUCAUGAGAUUCUGGCUAAUCCCCACAGUAAUAUAUGGGGUUAGGCUGUUUGCUGAAACUAAUCAUUUCCUACCAUGGGC